GACGAACGCUGGCGGCGUGCCUAAUACGUGCAAGUAGAACGCACAGUUUAUACCGUAGCUUGCUCCACCAUAGACUGUGAGUUGCGAACGGGUGAGUAACGCGUAGGUAACCUGCCUGGUAGCGGGGGAUAACUAUUGGAGACGAUAGCUAAUACCGCAUAAUAUUAAUUAUUGCAUGAUAAUUAAUUGAAAGGUGCAAUUGCACCACUACCAGAUGGACCUGCGUUGUAUUAGCUAGUAGGUGAGGUAACGGCUCACCUAGGCGACGAUACAUAGCCGACCUGAGAGGGUGAUCGGCCACACUGGGACUGAGACACGGCCCAGACUCCUACGGGAGGCAGCAGUAGGGAAUCUUCGGCAAUGGACGAAAGUCUGACCGAGCAACGCCGCGUGAGUGAAGAAGGUUUUCGGAUCGUAAAGCUCUGUUGUAAGAGAAGAACGGGUGUGAGAGUGGAAAGUUCACACUGUGACGGUAUCUUACCAGAAAGGGACGGCUAACUACGUG
rnacentral:rRNA from 1 species